rnacentral:tRNA from 1 species
GCCGAAUUUGCUCAGUCGGUAGAGCGCACGACUCUUAGACUUAUCCCUAGUGAAAUCGUGUGGUCGUGGGUUCAAGCCCCACAUUCGGUG